ensembl:misc_RNA Metazoa_SRP Metazoan signal recognition particle RNA
GCCAGGUGUGGUGGUGCAUGCCUGUAAUCCCAGCUACUCGGGAGGCUGAGAUAGGGGAAUCACUUGAACCCAGGAGGUAGAGGUUUCAGUCAGCAGAGAUUGCACCACUGCACCCCUGCCUGGGUGACAGAGUGAGACUCCGUCUCAA